AUCACGGUACUGAUCGUUGAGGUAAAUAAACAACGAGGUGGAUGAAAGGUUCUAAAGUUUUGGGACAGUCAAUGAUAAAAUGAAGUUAUGUCAGAGCUUGUUUCAUGGUGAUCGAAUCUAGCUCCACCGAUGUUAUUUUUAACUCGCCAGUCGAUUCCUAUUCCCUCCUUUAUACUUUGAGAGUGAAAACACUAUAGUAAAUGUCUCUCUGUUGGAGACAAUGAACUUAGCAUGUGUCUUCAUACCUUUCAAGAUUCACCUACGUAGGAUUAGCGCUGUCAUGCAACUUCACGUCGAAAGGUUGACUCUUUUCUACCGAAGGCAGAGGCAGCUAGAGGACAACUGAGUCGUCCAAGAUAGUCAGUCAGGUCCUGAUCGGCUACACUGAACCAGGCCGAUUUGGUAAAAUGUGUAUCGUUACAAGAUCCCAACGUUCAGCGAAAAUAACUCUCAGUCUGAAGGGUUCAGGCUCGCGCGUUCUCGGAUUUCUCUGCCUCUCUGCAAUGUGACCUACUCCUGCCAGUCUUAGCGGAAUGAAGACCUGCCGAUUUGCGCGUUCGUCAGCGGCCGUCAAGCGCCCGACAACAAGAUCCUUUAUCCUUCUCGUGCUUUAUUCAUUAUUUUCAAUUUCCUUUACUACAUCUAGUAAUAUUGGGAACCAACAGAGAUGAAUGGAAUCGAAGGCAGGGAGGGCAACAACUAAUGUGGGACCUCACACUUGUUACUUAAACGAUGUCGUCGUACCAUUUUCUCAGAAUUUUAAAUUGGUAUUUUAGGUGACAAGUGAAACAUAAUUAAAUUUGUAAGUGUGAAUUUUAUCUAAUUUAGGAUAAUUUUUAUCCGCCAUUAAAUUUUAUGAUAGUUAGAACUGACUGCUUGACGGUGUCACCUCAAACCUCCUCAUGACCUUCUCGUGAAUUGGCCGCUCGCCCUAUAGUUAGGAUUAUAGAAAACCCAUUUCAGACUUGUAUUGGCCAUCUUGCCUUUCGCAACAGCAGACACCGAUUCGGUAAUGUUCAGUUCAUCUAUUUCAA